AAACUGAAGAGUUUGAUCAUGGCUCAGAUUGAACGCUGGCGGCAGGCCUAACACAUGCAAGUCGAGCGGUAGAAAGUAGCUUGCUACUUUUGAGAGCGGCGGACGGGUGAGUAACGCGUGGGAAUCUACCUGGUAGUGGGGGAUAACGUUCGGAAACGGACGCUAAUACCGCAUACGCCUUUACGGGAAAAGAAGGGAUCUUCGGACCUUUCGCUAUCAGAUGAGCCUGCGUAGGAUUAGCUAGUUGGUAGGGUAAAGGCCUACCAAGCGACGAUCCUUAGCUGGUCUGAGAGGAUGAUCAGCACACUGGACUGAGACACGGCCCAGACUCCUACGGGAGGCAGCAGUGGGGAAUAUUGGACAAUGGGGGCAACCCUGAUCCAGCCAUGCCGCGUGUGUGAAGAAGGCCUCGGGUUGUAAAGCACUUUCAGUGGUGAGGAAGGGUGUAACGUUAAUACCGUUAUACAUUGACGUUAGCCACAGAAGAAGCACCGGCUAACUCCGUGCCAGCAGCCGCGGUAAUACGGAGG
rnacentral:ncRNA from 1 species